CAGUCGCCACGGUAAUACGGAGGGUGCAAGCGUUAAUCGGAAUUACUGGGCGUAAAGCGCACGCAGGCGGUCUGACAAGUCAGAUGUGAAAUCCCCGGGCUUAACCUGGGAACUGCAUCCAAAACUGGCAAGCUAGAGUAUGGUAGAGGGUGGUGGAAUUUCCUGUGUAGCGGUGAAAUGCGUAGAUAUAGGAAGGAACACCAGUGGCGAAGGCGACCACCUGGACUGAUACUGACACUGAGGUGCGAAAGCGUGGGGAGCAAACAGGAUUAGAUACCCGGGUAGUCCCUGUCUCUUAUAC
rnacentral:rRNA from 1 species